AGAAAAAGUGUUCUGCAUGGGGAACUCAAUCACGAAACUCUUCCAUGAAUUGUUUGUGGAACUCUGUCAAACGUGAAACAAUGGCUGGAAUCUUGUCCUCUUGAGGUAGUAUGGUGCAUCUAAAAUGCCAUGUACCAGGAACCUGACCAAAACCAGAACCUGGCACAACAACAAUUCCAGUAGCAUUAAGGAGACGACGACAAUAGAAGGUAUCAGGGGCUGCAUUGGCAGCUUGAGCUGCUUUGAUUGCCUUCACGGGCAGGUAAAUACGAGGAAAGAGAUACAUCGCCCCUUCGGCUUUAUUGCACUCCACACCUUCUAGACUGUUUAGAGCAUCUUCUAGCGCCUUUGCACGUCUUGCCAGCGAAGAGAGUAUUCCAUCCUUCUCUGCACUAUAUGAUUCAAAAGAUUCAUCU
rnacentral:misc_RNA from 1 species